GUCGCAGAUUGAUCGCACUCUCGCGCGUGCCGAAUUGCGAUCGAUGAAAUGUAAAAAAAAAUGUAAUCGCACGGGAGAAAAAUUGCUAUACGAUUUAAAAUCGCCGAACAUGAAUUUACGUAGACGUACAGACGUGAUGCAAAUGUCUCUCGGCCAAUCGAACAUCCAGUACGGAAUUUUCCAUCAAGAUUUCGCUUUAUUUGGGGAGAUGAUUCUUUUUAUUUUGCUGUAAUCAAUAUAAUUAUUACAUUAUUUAGUUUUAAAUUAAUAUCACGAAUAUCUAUAAUAUAUAUACAAUUUUUAAUUCAUUGGCAAUAUACCAAUAUUAUAUAUUAAAAACAUGAUGGAAGAUCCAUAUUUACACAGACCACGAAAACAUUAAUCGGCAGUCUACACGUGGCAUUUGCGCCGAUUGCACGUCACAAGCGCAGAGCAAAUGCAUUAAAAUGCACCAUCAAAUUGGACAGAUUCGAUCAAGCACUUCAAUCUUCAAGGCAGACGGCUAACGCACUCGCUUACGUACUUCAACCUCCAUUCAAAAAUCGCAGUCAAUAGUGAUAUGGAAUAAUAAAUAACGUUUGAUUCUC